rnacentral:pre_miRNA from 1 species
UUUGAGGGGAAUGUUGUCUGGCUCGAGGCCACCAACUAGAUCUAUGAUUCUAUGUAUUUCAAUUGAUAAAAUUUUCCCUAUGGAUCAUUUUCUUGGUUGAGAUUACCAUCUUUGAUCAUAAGUUAGUGACGUCGGACCAGGCUUCAUUCCCCCCAAU